UACGUAGGGUGCAAGCGUUGUCCGGAAUUAUUGGGCGUAAAGAGCUCGUAGGCGGUCUGUCGCGUCUGCUGUGAAAACUGGAGGCUCAACCUCCAGCCUGCAGUGGGUACGGGCAGACUAGAGUGCGGCAGGGGAGAUUGGAAUUCCUGGUGUAGCGGUGGAAUGCGCAGAUAUCAGGAGGAACACCGAUGGCGAAGGCAGAUCUCUGGGCCGUAACUGACGCUGAGGAGCGAAAGCAUGGGGAGCGAACAGG
rnacentral:rRNA from 1 species